CUUGACCUCUCCGCCGGGUGAAGCUUCUUCACCCACCUCACGUGGCCCCCACCAGUUCACCCGGGACCACGGCUGACUCACCGUCUGGGAAUCUGGAGUAGGCACUGCCUUUGUAAAAAAGCCGUGCUAAAAACUUGCUGUGCAAGAUAAACAGGGAAAACAUGCUGUUUGGCACACGCAGGGUUCAGAUGUUGACCAUUGUGUUCCCUGGGAGUUAAUCAUCACAGGUCAGCCCUGCCUUUGCAGUGGGAGGGAGGUGUGCUCCGCUGCUUGCUCAAUAUUAAGGAAGCAGGUGCAGCAACAACUCAUUGUUGUGUGUUGCUGGUGGAAGAGCCUGUAGAAGAGAAGGCUUUGCACAAGACUACAUGCGGCAACAUUUGGGAUGUAAAUGCAUUAGAAAACCACCCACCUAGGCUGGCUUUUCAGAGCCUUUUGGUCUUCCCUGGGGAACUGAAGACAGGGGAAGAUCUGGGCACAUCCUCUGAGUAAACCACAGCUGAAGAGGUUUUCAAACUGUUCAUGCUUCAGAACACUGGAAGACUCCAGUAGGAAUAACUAUAAACCUACUCAUUACAGUCUGCAGAUCUCCUAGUGUGGGUGAGUGAAUAAGCAUCUGAAAACAACUGUGCUUUAUUCUUUUUCUUACACAUCUGCCAUG
rnacentral:lncRNA from 1 species